UUAAUUGAAUCCAAAAUAGCGGAAAAUUAGUGUUAAUGAUUAAAUUGAAAUUUAUAUUUCCAAUUAAAU
rnacentral:tRNA from 1 species